CUUUCUAACCCUAAAACGUAUCACAUUUCAUGGGUACGGGAUAUCAGUUGUGUCGCUUGUGAACCACCCUUCGUGAAUUCAAGUUUCUAACCCUAAAUCAUUGUCAUUGUCAAUUCCAAACCCCAUCAUCACAUGGAUUCGUCGAAGCGAAGAUUCUCAUACGGCAUCUGGUGAUUAGAUGAUAUAUUGCUGCUAUUCUCCUAGAAACUGUCAAAGUUUACAAAUAUUGACAUCAUAAAGAAUGUUGGAAAAAAAAACCCAUCAGUGGAUUCAUUAUGUUUACAAGAAUCGCCAUCACUAAAUUCGAUUACGGGAUAAGGGUUUAUAUCUGAUUCAGGAGACACAAAUUAUGUCGAAUAAUACCCGAGUUUGAUGAUGAAGUUAGUUCAUUUAGUUUGAGUUAGGACCAUUCAAUAGUUUAGAAUUAUUUUGAGAAAAUACCACCCAGACAAGAUGGGGUUGAGAAAGCGAGUUGUAAUGGUUGUGGAAAGGUGUUUAAGGCUAAAAAGGGAACAACUAACAUGAAACGUCAUUUACCUAAGCGUUUCAACAUUGAUGAACCCGACCCUCCAAGAAAACGUGCUCCUUUAGAUCAAGCAAUGUAUACGGAAAAACUAGCAUAUUCUAUCAUCAAACACAACUAUCCUUUUAGUUAUGUUGAACAUGAGGGGACACGAGAUUUACAUAAAUUUUAUAUCGAGAUGUGACUCCUAUAACAAGAAACACGGCGAAGGUGGAUGUUUUAAGAAUAUAUGAUAGAGAGAAGACAAAUCUUAAAGAAAAGUUGCAAAAUGUAACUAGUAGAAUAUGUCUAACCACCGAUCUAUGGAGCUUUAUCACAACUGAGGAUAUAUAGCAUUGACGGCUCAUUAUAUUGAUGAUAGUUGGGUUCUAAGGAAAAAAUUAUAAAGUUUAAAGUUAUACCACCUCCACACAGUGGUAAACUUUUAACAGAGUUCAUGAUUAAUUUUUUAGGAGAUUGGAGUAUUGAGAAAAAGGUGUUUACAAUCACAGUGGAUAAUGCCAAAUAUAAUGAUGUUUUAGUAGGUUGUUUAAAUAGUCACUUUCGUUUGAAUCGUGUUUUACUUUAUCAAGGAGAUUUUACGCAUGUGCGUUGUUGUGCACACGUGUUAAAUCUUAUUGUUCAAGGGGGGUUAAAGGCUAUUGAAGGAGCCAUUGAAAAGGUUCAAGAUCGGUGAAGUAUGUUAGAGGAAGUUCUGAUAGAAAGUACAAGUUUGCUGAAUGUAUACACCAUCUAUCAUUACAAUGCGGGAAAAAAAAUGCAUCAAGAUAUUGUAACCAGAUGUAAUUCUACCUAUCUCAUGCUCGAUAGUGCAUUGGCCUAUCGUAAUGCAUAUGCUCGGUUAGCAUUUGUUGAUUCCAGGUAUAAGACUUUCCCAUCAGAACAGGAAUGGGCAAGGGUGGAAACAAUCACAGAAUUCUUGAAGCCUUUCUAUAAUAUCACAACUUUGUUUUCUGGUACCUCUUAUCCUACUUCCGACUUAUAUUUUUCAUAAUGUGUGGAAGAUUCAAAAAUGUAUUGAAGAUCAGAUCGACAGUGUUGAAAAGGUGUUAAGUGACAUGGCAAAAGAAAUGAAAAAGAAAUUUGAUAAAUAUUAUAAAAGCUAUAGCAUGGUAUUAUCUUUUGCGGUUGUUCUAGAUCCACGAUAUAAGUUUAAGCUUGUUGAGUUUUGUUUCAAAAAGCUUAACAUGACUGAGGAAGAACGUAAAACAAAAGUGGAUAUUAUUUUCAAAGGGAUGCAUAAGCUAUAUGAUAUGGAGUAUGGUAUUUUGUCAAGGAAAACUUCUUCAACAGCCGGAGUUCAAAUAUUUGUGGUGAUACGUCCGAUGAUUUGGAAGGAUUUGAGUCAUUUACAAGCGAAUAUAGAAAUGUUGAGAAAGAAAAAUCAUAAUUGGCAUGUAUCUAGAGGAGCCUGUACUUGAUAGAAAAGAAGAACUUGACAUUUUACAAUAUUUGAAGGAAAAUCAAGGGAGAUAUCCUCAAUUGUCUCUCAUGGCUCGUGAUAUAUUGAGCAUCCUAAUCACUAUUGUUGCCUCAGAAUCAUAUUUCAGUAUUGGGGGUCAGGUUUUAAGUAAAUAUCGAUCUUCAUUACUCUCAUUAAAUGUUGAGGCUUUGCUAUGCACUCGUCAUUGGUUGUUGAUUUAAAAGAAUGAUAUCGAGGACGGACUUGCAGAAGAUAUUGACUUAUUGUAUCCGACAUAUGAUGAUAGCCACAUUUAGGUUGUUGAUUCUGCUGCUGCUGCAGCUAUUGGAACUUAUUUGUGUUUGUAUUUUCUGUUCGGUUGGACUUGGUUUGUUUAUGUAUAUGUAUUCUGUUACCUUAUUUCGUAUGUUAUUUAAGAUUGGUGUAGUAACUUUAUUUAUGUACUGUACUUUCUUAUCGUUUGUAUCUUGAUGCUUUAUGCAA